GGGGAUGUGGCUCAAGUGGUUGAGCGCUCACCUGGCAUGCGUGCGGCCAGGGUUCAAUCCUCAGCACCACA
rnacentral:tRNA from 1 species